AUCUUUUUAGUAUAAUUAAAUAUAUCUGACUUCCAAUCAGAAGAUCUUAACUUAAGAAAAGAUA
rnacentral:tRNA from 1 species